CCUCUUGAGCUCUUGUGGUGACCUGGGAAUCAAUGUGUGAGGUGGUGCUAUGUAGCAGGAACCCCUCUUGCUUUGCAAAUAGUUUUUUGUUUGUUUUCCUUUUUGCCCAAUAGAGCCCUGCUCUACUGACCCUUCAAUGUGCCCGUGUGCCUAAAUAUUCCUGGUCGUGUGAAAAGAACCCAGGUAUUAGCUGAACUAAGGAGCACAAUUCUGCAACAUUUUGGCACCCAAACACGGGGCUUGAGAAAUGAAUGCAAUUGGAGAAACUGGUUGUUUUACCAGGCGUUGAUUGGAAAUGUGUGCUUCCCUUUAAGCAGUCAAGCUCAACUUGCAGAACUGAUGGGAACCCCUUGGGAAAACUGGCCUCAAAUGUUUGUCUACACAGUCCACAUACAGGGUUCUUAACCUGCGAUGAGGGAAACUUCCCAGGGCUUGUCUGGGUAUGCCCACAGUGGACUGGAGCCCAAAAUGCACACUGGAGGAAGUGGAUGGAGCCACGUGGAUGUCAUGCCUUAUGCAGGGGAGGAGCCUGCUCUCUUCAGCUCCUGUGGUAAUGUGGGAAUCGAUCUGUGAGAUGGAGUCUUGUUCUGUGGUCCAGGCUAGAGGGCAGUGGCAUGAUCUCGGCUCACUACAAGCUCUGCCUCCCGGGUUCACGCCAUUCUCCUGCCUCAGCCUCCUGAGUAGCUGGGACUACAGGCGCCCGCCACCACGCCUGGCUAAUUUUUUGUAUAUUUACUAGAGAUGGCUAGUGUUAGCCAAGAUGGUCUCGAUCUCCUGACCUCGUGAUCUGCCCACCUCAGCCUGCCAAAGUGCUGGGAUUACUGGCGUGAGCCACCGUGCCUGGCCAGCAUCCUCUAAUUAUUAUUCAUAGUUUGUGAAUUUAGGCCUACGUGAAUAAUAAUAUAAUAUUUACUAUGAUGUUACUAUCUACCAACCUUAUUUUUCUUUUCUAUAAAAUAGGAGCCAAAAUAAUAUUUAUGUCAUACCUUAUGAAGUUAAAAUAAAAUAUAACGAAUGAGGGGCUUAA
rnacentral:lncRNA from 1 species